rnacentral:rRNA from 1 species
UACGAAGGAUUCGAGCGUUAUCCGGAUUUAUUGGGCUUAAAGGGUGCGUAGGCGGACUGAUAAGUCAGUGGUGAAAUCCUGUUGCUUAACAACAGAACUGCCAUUGAUACUGCCAGUCUUGAGUACAGUUGAGGUAGGCGGAAUGUGUCAUGUAGUGGUGAAAUACUUAGAUAUGACACAGAACACCGAUUGCGAAGGCAGCUUGCUAAACUGUAACUGACGCUGAGGCACGAAAGCAUGGGGAGCAAACAGG